rnacentral:rRNA from 1 species
CCUACGGGAGGCAGCAGUGGGGGAUAUUGGACAAUGGGGGGAACCCUGAUCCAGCGACGCCGCGUGAGUGAAGAAGUAUCUCGGUAUGUAAAGCUCUAUCAGCAGGGAAGAAGAAAUGACGGUACCUGAGUAAGAAGCCCCGGCUAACUACGUGCCAGCAGCCGCGGUAAUACGUAGGGGGCAAGCGUUAUCCGGAAUUACUGGGUGUAAAGGGAGCGUAGACGGUGGGGCAAGUCUGGAGUGAAAGGCCGGGGCCCAACCCCGGGACCGCUCUGGAAACUGCCCGGCUGGAGUGCGGGAGAGGUAAGCGGAAUUCCUAGUGUAGCGGUGAAAUGCGUAGAUAUUAGGAGGAACACCAGCGGCGAAGGCGGCUUACUGGACCGUGACUGACGUUGAGGCUCGAAAGCGUGGGGAGCAAACAGGAUUAGAUACCCCUGUAGUC